GACGAACCGUGCGAACGUUGUUCGGAAUCACUGGGCUUAAAGGGCGCGUAGGCGGCGGGUCGAGUCCGGGGUGAAAGCCCCCAGCUUAACUGGGGAAGGGCCUCGGAGACUGGUCCGCUCGAGGGAGGUAGGGGUCGCGGGAACUUCCGGUGGAGCGGUGAAAUGCGUAGAGAUCGGAAAGAACACCAACGGCGAAAGCACUCUGCUGGGCCGACACUGACACUGAGAGACGAAAGCUAGGGGAGCGAAUGGG
rnacentral:rRNA from 1 species